rnacentral:rRNA from 1 species
CAGAGGUUACUGCUAKCKRGAUUCGACUAAGCCAUGCGAGUUGAAUGUUCUUCGUGAACAUGGCGGACUGCUCAGUAACACGUGGACAACCUACCCUUGGGUCCGGCAUAAUCCUGGGAAACUGGGAAUAAUUCCGGAUAGGUCACCGAUGCUGGAAUGCGCGGUGGCCGAAAGCUCCGGCGCCCGAGGAUGGGUCUGCGGCCUAUCAGGGUUGUAGUGGGUGUAACGUACCUACUAGCCUACGACGGGUACGGGUUGUGAGAGCAAGAGCCCGGAGAUGGAUUCUGAGACACGAAUCCAGGCCCUACGGGGUGCAGCAGGCGCGAAAACUUUACAAUGCGGGAAACCGUGAUAAGGGGAUCUCGAGUGCCAGCAUAUAAUGUUGGCUGUCCAGAUGCCUAAAAAGCAUCUGUUAGCAAGGGCCGGGCAAGACCGGUGCCAGCCGCCGCGGUAACACCGGCGGCCCGAGUGGUAACCGCUAUUAUUGGGUCUAAAGGGUCUGUAGCCGGCCAGGUAAGUCCCUUGGGAAAUCUGGCAGCUCAACUGUCAGGCUGCUAGGGGAUACUGUUUGGCUUGGGACCGGGAGAGGUGAGAGGUACCUUGGGGGUAGGGGUGAAAUCUUGUGAUCCUCGAGGGACCACCAGUGGCGAAGGCGUCUCACCAGAACGGGUCCGACGGUAAGGGACGAAAGCUAGGGGCACGAACCGGAUUAGAUACCCGGGUAGUCCUAGCCGUAAACGAUGCUCGCUAGGUGUCAGUCACGGUGCGACCGUGAUUGGUGCCGUAGGGAAGCCGUGAAGCGAGCCACCUGGGAAGUAUGGCCGCAAGGCUGAAACUUAAAGGAAUUGGCGGGGGAGCACUACAWCRGRUGGAGCCUGCGGUUUAAUUG